CAGCCGCCACGGGAAUACGUAGGUGGCAAGCGUUGUCCGGAAUUAUUGGGCGUAAAGGGCUCGCAGGCGGCUUCUUAAGUCUGAUGUGAAAGCCCCCGGCUCAACCGGGGAGGGUCAUUGGAAACUGGGAAACUUGAGUGCAGAAGAGGAGAGUGGAAUUCCACGUGUAGCGGUGAAAUGCGUAGAGAUGUGGAGGAACACCAGUGGCGAAGGCGACUCUCUGGUCUGUAACUGACGCUGAGGAGCGAAAGCGUGGGGAGCGAACACGAUUAGAUACCCCUGUAGUCCCUGUCUCUUAUAC
rnacentral:rRNA from 1 species